rnacentral:rRNA from 1 species
GACAGAGGUGCCAAGCGUUAGGCGGAAUCACUGGGCUUAAAGCGUGUGUAGGCGGGCGGGCAAGUACCUUGUGAAAUCCCACGGCUCAACCGUGGAGCGGCUGGGUAUACUGCCUGUCUUGAGCCAGCUAGGGGCGACCGGAACAGACGGUGGAGCGGUGAAAUGCGUAGAUAUCGUCUGGAACGCCAAAGGUGAAAACAGGUCGCUGGGGCUGAGCUGACGCUGAGACACGAAAGCCAGGGGAGCGAACAGG